rnacentral:siRNA from 1 species
AGGAGUCAAUUUAUGAUAACUAAU